ensembl:misc_RNA Metazoa_SRP Metazoan signal recognition particle RNA
GCUGGGCGUGGUGGUGCACGCCUGUAAUCCUAGCUACUUGGGAAGCUGAGGCAGGAGAAUCGCUUGAACCCGGGAGGUUGCAGUGAGCCGAGAUCGCACCACGGCACUCCAGCCUGGGCGACAGAGGGAGACUCUGUCUCUC